GACAAAACAAACAUCUGCAGUUUACACAUGUACAAGUACAACAGCAAAAAAAAUGGGUACAUGGCAUAGCACUGGACAUUGUACUGACAGGAGACAAGGGGGUUCCCUGUGCCUGGCACUGCAUGAGACCUUCCCUUUUGACGUGCAGCUGUCAAACUGUCAUCAUCUAUCACUGGGCCAUAGAGAAUUUGGUGGAGAACUGCCCUGGCACUGUGAUUUUAGGAGUGGUCUAGGUCAGGGAAUGUGCAAAACCUGCUCCUGACAUUUGGCAGGAACAAGGGGACUGGAUCUCCUGCUCAAAAAGGUCUCCACUGACAUCAGCAGUUGUGCUCUCUAGAACACAGCUUGAAAUGGAAAUCAGAUUGGGAUAUCAGCCACAAUUUACCUGGCCAAUAACCAGAUGGUCAAGUUUAAAGUCAGUAACCAGAUACAUGUGGGAGCUUUGACAAGCUGCCAGGCAAAUAAAUGCCAUUCCUGUACUUACCCAGAAAGUCAGGGCUGUUAUCACUGCUGGUUACCUCCUCCACUGCUGGGAGUUGUUUGGAGGGGCUCUCCCAUCAGCCCACUGUGGAUCCAGUCCAGGAAAACUGGAUAUCAGAGUACAGACUCCAACCUGACUUUGGAUCAGACCCUAUUUCCUACCAAGCUCUCACAGGUGCAGAGUGGGACUUGUGCUGAAGUCUUGUGCCCAGUGGGACUUGUGAUGAAAAUGCAGCACCUAUGAUUGAGCAAACCACUUGUCUGCACAUCUAGACAGACAAAAUGUUUCAGCCCUUGCCCUGCCUCAAUUCCCCAGUGUCAGUGCAGAGGAGAAGCAGGUGGGCAGUGGGAUGAAGUCAGCCAUCCUCUAACCAGGCCAGCUGGAGGGUUUUUCCCCAAAGCUGCCAUUACAAACCUCCCCACUCUGCACUCCCACCCCUCUGACAUACCACCCCGAAUAUGUGGGAGAUGAACUGCAUCCCAAACUGCUGGCAGUGGGGUGGCCAGAACUCCAGGAAACUUUCCACAUCAGUGCGCAGCUCCUUCUUCUCCUCCUCGCCGAAGCUGUCCACGUGGUUCUGCAGCUCGUCGAUGGACACCAGGCAGCCCUCGGACAGCCCACUGCCCUCCCUCUCGAUCUUCCAGAGGAUGCGGGCAGCCAGCCUGGCAGGGGACAGCCACAGGUGUCACAGCACAAGGAGAGAACAAAGAGCCAUCAAAAUUCAUCUCCUUGGGGGGAAAUGGUGUGUGGGCAGACUGACUGAGACAGGCUCAGAUGGGUGAUGGAUGGUCACCAUCCCCAGCCUUCUGAAGGCAAGGGAGAUGCAGGGUUUUGUCCCAGCACCUGUGUUCUCAUCUGGAGAAGUGCUACAGACCCCCAGGUCCCCAGCCCUCCAAAGCUGCUCCCAUUUCCUUGAGGAUUCCUCUCAUUUUUUUAUGGCGGAGCCAGAAUGUGAAGACAAAUUCAUGUAUCCUAUAGGCAAAUUGGGGAAGAAUCCAUCUCCUCUUUCACUUUCCCACCUACUCCCCAGUUUCCCACACCUCCUAAACCAUCCAGGGUGGGUUUGCCUCACCACAUUCAGAGUUUUUAGAACCCAGGACCAAAAAAACCCAAACAGGAACACAUCUCUUGCACCACUGAUGCUCCUCCACAUACCUUCCCUAUCUCAGGGAAGCUCCAGGCCUAUCCUAAACCUUCUCCCACCUCCACCUUGCCCAAAUCAGACCACCCAGCUCUUCCUUGCCAUGGGAUGCUCUGUCCUCUCCCAGGGGCCAGCUCUCACCUGAUGUUUUCGGUGGGUGCCUUGCCAUGCCUCUUGAUGGCAGAGCACUCGUUUUUGUGGUUGAGCCAGGCUGCUCUCUGGCAGGUCCUGUCGCAGUAAUAGGCAAACUUGCACUGCCCGCAGCGGUGCAGCCGCUCCUGCCGCUUGAAGCAGGUGUGGCAGAUGACGUGUGUCAGGCUGCAAGGGCAGAAGGACACCUUGGAUCAGUGAGGGCCAGCUCUGCCCAGUGAAGAUCCCGCCUGCUUUGCACCCCUGGGCUCCCUACAGCUGCAAAAAUGAACCCCUCAAGAUUUUUGGGGAGGAUGGAGAAACACCCAGCUUAAUCCUUGUGGUCUUGCCUGUUGCUGUAAGUUAAAUGGUGAGGGAAUAACUGGGACCCCUUCAAAAGGGGUAUUUCAUCUUUAGGGGAUUCAAAACAGGAUUUCCAAGAAGCAUCCUACAAUUGUAUACAUGUAACUAUAACCAGGGCCAUGGGACGAUGCUGAUGAAGAAAUCUGACCUCACAUCCUCCCUCUGAGAGUGUCCAGGGUCCCUGACUGAGGGGAAACCUCCCCCAUAUGCCCCUUCAUUUAUCCAGCUUUUGCUCCUAGAACUUAAUUCACUGAGAAGGAGACACUUUGGUCUCCUGUCCAAAAAAUUUUGGGACUUUCCCCUUGCUGCUAGAGAGGGCUUUUCACUGCCUCAUUUGGUGUCUCCAGCUGUCUGCUUCUCCAGGCAACCACCCACUUUAUCUGGGCCUCCAGCCAGGCUUGACAGUACAGGAGAAUUUAAAUUCCCAUCACUCAGCCACUGCUGGUGCCAGAAGGGGGGUUCUGCUCACUGCAAAAAGCUCAGGGACCACAGAGGCUUCAUGAUCAAAGGAACAUUUAUAAUUGUGCUCAGUGCAGAGUGAGGAAACUGAGGCAAGGGGAAAUAAAAAAAAUUCUUGAUGAUCUCAUAAGGAGGAUGUGCCACAAGCAGGAGUCAGACUCACAGCCCCAGAGAAUCCAACCCAAAGAUUGUCCUCCCUCUCUACUAUACCUAUACCUAUAUAUAGGUACGCACAUACAUAUGCAUAUUUAUGUUUUUAUCUAUAUAACAGUACAUUUAAAAUGCAUUUAUUUUCUCUGAAAAUAUUAUCUGAGCUGCUGACAUAAUUUACCCUGUGCCUUGGCUCUUGCAGGAUAAAGAGGACUACUGAUUUAAGAGCAGGAUGACAUCAGACAAAACCUUGUGCAAAAAUGAGGUCUGGAAAAUGAGGUUUAGGAAAGUGAGCAGUGCUGGAGGGAGCCCAAUGCAAGGCAAGCACCUGGGAUGGGGCAGAGGGAAACAUGUCUGGGAAGGGGGGAUGCAGCCAGCUCCACUGUGUCAAAUGGAAGAGCUGAAAGCUGGUGAGAAAUGUGAGGCUGUGCUCUGUCAGCUGUCAGGUCAGGGGGGCAGAGAGGUGCAAGAGAGAUUACACUCCUUGUAAGGCAAAGCAGAGCCAGAGAGCUGAUAAAACCCACAUGGCUACGUCGUGCCAGGAAGCACAGGGAGAUAUCUCACAUGGGGAAUGGGGGUCUCUCCUGCCACCUGGGUGUUUUAAGGGCAGACAGAAGGCAAAAAUAAAGUUUCCUUGUAGAGAGGAAUGACAGGUUGGAUAGAAACAUGGUGCAGAAAAAUCCAAGUCCUACAAUAGGUGUUUCUCUCCCCUCAGUUUGCACCCUGAGAAUAAAAAAAUACUGAAAUGUAACUUUACAUUUUGCUGUUUAUUGCAUGGAGUAUCCAGAUUUCCCAAGGCAAACCUGGCUGGCAGAAUUUAACACCAGCUCUGGAAAUCCCUGAUUUCUGAGGAGAUGCAGAAAAGCACCAAAAAAUUAUACAAGACUUUCUGAGAAAGAAAAGGAAAAGCCCCUGUGGUAUUGAAGCUGCAGAGACAAUUACUCACAGGUAAUCUGACCAGCAAGUGUAAGAAAUACUGCAGCUCUUACAAAACCAUUAUGGGAUCCUCCGUGCCCCAAAACACUUUCAAAGAAGACUGGAUUUAUUGAUACUGUGUGUUAUCAGGACUCCAAAGGCCUGGGCUCAAGUCUUGGCACAAUAAAAAAAUCAGGAGCCACAAGUAUUUGAGAUCUAUUCCAUAAAACUUCAACUAACACUGCAUAAACAUCUGCAAGCACCUAAAUCCCUCAGGUGCCCCUUGGCAGUUGUGCAAAAUCCUGCUGUGUCAGAGGAGCUCAGAGCUGGAUGCCCCAAAAGGGAAUGACAAAGUGGGGCUCUCUCUUGGCUGGGUUCUGAUUCCACCUGUUCUGGAGACACUCAGGACACCAAAGGCUUGCAGUGCUUCACAGCCUCCUCUUUCAUCCCCUCUGCAAUGUUAAGGUUCUCCAAGUGGAGCAGCUUGAGAUUAAAUUUAAAGUCUCUCAACCUGUGGAAAUCAUUGGUCUAUAAAACCUUCCCUGUCUGGCCUAGAAAGU